rnacentral:rRNA from 1 species
UACGUAGGGGGCUAGCGUUGUCCGGAAUCAUUGGGCGUAAAGCGCGUGUAGGCGGCCCGGUAAGUCCGCUGUGAAAGUCGGGGGGCUCAACCCUCGGAUGCCGGUGGAUACUGCAGGGCUAGAGUCCGGAAGAGGCGAGUGGAAUUCCUGGUGUAGCGGUGAAAUGCGCAGAUAUCAGGAGGAACACCGAUGGCGAAGGCAGCUCGCUGGGACGGUACUGACGCUGAGGCGCGAAAGCGUGGGGAGCAAACAGG